UCUGAGUGUUUCAUCUCUGCAGGCCGCUCUGACCGCCGAGUCGCUUUUCACACAAACACCAUCAGUUUCUCAUCUCUCAAACUUUCCACAGGAUGUGUGGCUAUUCUUGUUUGUCUCAGACCACACUCAUGUUGUUUUUUUCUUUAUCACACAUCAUACUAACUUAGAAACAUCUCCAGACUUCAUAGAGAAGUGUGAUAUUCUAACUGCUCCCUCACGGUCACUUAUUCUGUAUGCCGUCAGAUAUGAUGUUAUUUACGCAUGAUAAAAGUCUUCGUCCUCGUCCACGUGUCAAGCCGAGAUCCAGCAGCAGCUCAACACAACCUGCACUGAACUUCCUGAGAAGAGACUUAUGGGCGGAGCUUCAUAUAAUCCACCAGAUCAAAAGCUUUUCAUUUUGUCUCUCAUCAGCGUCUGAGUCACUUUCUCUUCUUUUCUGUUUUGUAAAAACUUAUAGUUGUUCAUUUACUGGGGCUUCAUUAAUAAAGCCUUUGGUGUUAAAGGACAAUAAUCAUCUUCUUAGUAUGAACAUUACCUCCCCAUAAUUGAUUAUUUUUCUAUAACAGAACAUCUUUGAGUGUUUUUUUUACUUGCACAUGACUCCUUAUAAUGCUGAAUUUCUCCAUGUAUUAAACUUAAUGUUUUUAUGUUA